AACGUAGGACGCAAGCGUUAUCCGGAGUUACUGGGCGUAAAGGGCAGGCAGGCGGGUCGAUAAGUCGGAUGUGAAAUCUCCCUGGCUUAACCGGGAGAGUGCAUUUGAGACUGUCAACCUGGAGGGCAGCAGAGGAGCGUGGAAUUCCGGGUGGAGUGGUGAAAUGCGUAGAGAUCCGGAGGAACACCAGAGGCGAAAGCGGCGCUCUGGGCUGCGCCUGACGCUGAACUGCGAAAGCCAGGGGAGCGAACGGG
rnacentral:rRNA from 1 species